rnacentral:rRNA from 1 species
UUAAAAUGUAAAUUAAUAAGCUAAGUGAUUAAUAGUUAAGUUCUUUAAAGCUAAAUGAUUUGGCGGUAUUUUAAUCUUUUCAGAGGAACCUGUCCAGUUAUCGAUAAUCCACGAUAAAAUUCACUUAAAUUAGAAAUUUUUAUAUCGUCGUUAUUAAAUAUUUUAAAAGAAUAAAAUAUUUAUAAUUUUUUAAGAAAAAUUAAAUCAGAUCAAGGUGAAGUUUAUAUUUAAGAUGAGAUGGGUUACAUUAAAUUUUAUUUAUAGAUUUAAAAUUUGAAAAAUUUGAUGAAAUUGGAUUUGAAAGUAAUUAGUUAAAUUUUUUUCUAAUGAUUAAGCACUAAAAUAUGC